CGAUCGUAUAUUUUGGAGAUUCCCCCACAGAUGCCUGGUGAUCUUAUUGGAGGAUGCGUGACUUUACCUUGAAAAUGAAAUUGCAGACAUUUCAUAUGCGGCAAGUGAUGAAACACGGAUCCCUAACUCACUGAACCAUCUCAUACCCUGGGUGAUGCAAUUGGCAAUUGCCUGUUGCCAUAUGGAGCGACCGGUCACAGUCGGCACUGGCACUGUCUGGAUUCGAUCCAAGAUGAUGUGAGUGAUCUGCACAGCUCUGUUCCACAGAUCAGCUGCCCGCUGCCGGAACAGGGUCUAUCCAAAGCCAUCAUGGUGCCCAAGGAGAAGAGGCAAAUUUCUGUGGUUAGAAUGUGGUAUUCUUUGAACCAAACCAUUUCAACAGCACCGGACAGCUCCUAUGCCCCAAUUGGAGUUGGCAGAGACUACAGCUUCUCAUGAGAACAGGCCAUUCAGUCCAUAUGGGCUUGUCAUUUCACCUACUGUUUAGAGAAUAUCCAGCAAUGUGUCAAGCCUGGUCUUGAACACCCAAAGGGUCCCUGCCUAAUACAUGCCCAAGAUGAAAGGUUCAGAGACAAAAAAGCAGGAACCAGGAUAAAUGGUGAUUCAAUUAACAAAAAUAAACGAACAAGAGGGAAAAACCUGGAACUUGAGAAAUAAAUAGCAAACACCAUGUGAGACCACAGAAAGUGAACACAAGGCACAAGACUCCAAGAACAAACAAUUAGACUAAAUUAUCUUUUAUUUCAGGCCUUUGGUUUACAAACAGAGGCGUGCAGAUCAAACCAAUUUAGCACCUAUGUUUGUAAAUAAGCAGCCUUUGGGAUGGAAUCUGGGAAAAGCUGCUACUGUGGUGGCUCUUGAAACAGACUUGAAACAAACCACUGUUUUAAAUGGACAAAUGGUUGUGCUGCUGCAACU